rnacentral:rRNA from 1 species
AUGGGUAUGCAGUCUAUGAUGGAUGUCCGGUGCACGAACCUUGUCAACCCUGUAUGCGACUGGCUUGGUGAGAUCUACGACCCCGCCUCCAGGGAAUUCGUGAUUCCGGGAUGUGGAAGACUACCGUUGAACGAGGAAUCCGUGUUCUACACUUUGGGUGUGCCUCGUGGACAUAUGAAAGUCCCGUACGAGGCGGAUCUGGGAAAUGUGAAGAACAUGAAUUGGUGUAAGUUUAUUGCCGACUUCCUGCAUGAUGCAUUCUCAAGCAAGAUGUACCAAAAGGGUUGUCGACUGCAUUUACUGGAGAGGGCACCUGUUGAGCAUCUAAUAGGGCAGUUUGCAUCUGGAAUGACCGGCUUGCUCAGGAAGUUGGUUGAGGGGUGGACGUCCCUCAGUGGCUCUGACAGCGACGCGGUUGCGAGGCAGUUCACUUCAUUUGUCCCAGAAAGUACACACCGGCCAACCGGUUGCCAUGGCUGGUAUGACUAUAAUAGUUCCCAAGAGCCUGCUGACACACAAGAUGAACUAGGUGGAGAUGCUGGUCUCAGCAAGGAUGACGACGAUGUCAUGGAGAAUGUGCAAGAGGACACCAAUGAUGAUGAUCAUGCUGAAGUUCACGCAGGUGGUAACAAGGGCAAGGAUGCAACAGAUGUCCCCCAACCGGAGAAAGUCAAACAACACACGGCUGCGAGAGGCGAGGGGGUUUUGCCAUCAAAGAGGAGGAGGGCUCUAGAGGGUGUUGGGCAGGGUUCUGCUGGCAAGAGGUCUAGGACCGACCCCGUAGCUGCCAGGAAGAGCGAGCCGACAGCUGGUGGACGAGUAGUUACGAAGAAACAGGCGCCAACGCCAACCCGUGUUUCUGCUCGGUUGAACAAAGGCGCCCUCAUUGCCGGUGACACCCCUUCCACCAGGUCAUCUCCUUGCACGACGAAGACCAACACCGGGGAUCCUGUCGUGUUGCCACACAUGAGGAAGACAGUCAAGAAGGUGAAGAAGACUACUACGCGCGGGGCCAAGCAUAUCAGUAAGGACCCGCUCGAAUGCCUGCAUUCAAAGUUGUCAACAGGGGGCAACUCAGAUGUACAUGAGGCACCAGGCGACAAUACUGCUACUGCACCGUUGACCGCUCCCACCAACUCUGAUGCAAGUGGUCGACCAUCUCCGCCGGCUGCGGAUGUGCAGGCUAGAACAACAGGCAUCCGUACAUCGGGGAGUGACGAGUCGGUAUCUCCCAGGACAGCUGAAAUAUUGCCAACUCUUCUGGCAAUGAAGGAUGCUGCUGUGAGCCAUGCCACCCCAUCAGCAAGCAUUGAAGUGGACGCUCCCGAGACGAACCUAAGCAAGGAAGAUUCCCACUCAUCUGACACUGAUUCCAAGCGCGUGCGUGGUGGCACUCCUGUGUCCACGACAGAAGCGGCUGAGGCGGCAGUUCACAAGGAUAUGCCAUCUACAGGUGAGAGUCCUAGCACAACAGCUCCAGCUCCUGUCGGUGCAGAUACUGCUAAGGCGACUGUUUCGCGUGCUGGUCUUCCACCUAGGCGUCGUAGCCCCCGCAAGCAACCAACAGACAUACCCAACGCACCGGCUGUAGCUAGGAGCAGGAGAGACGAGUCUGGUUAUGUUCCUGCGUCCACAUUGUUCCCGCCACCUGCCAAAAGCAAUGUGAUGGAGAAACCGGAAGACCGGAGCACAACUGAUGCAGGUGUCAAGCCGGGCACGAGUGACGCAGGUGAAAAACCAGAGCAGACUGCGCCUUUACCUGCAGUGGAAAUUCCUAGCAUAAAUCUACGCACUUCCAGGCUCCUAGUCAAUGUCGGUGUCCCCUACAGCCCAAACAAGAAGAUUGUCAUGAAAGCUGCGGCUGAUACCGCUGACAACACGCCCCGCCCUGCAAAUAAGGCUGAUCAUUCUGUAGCGGCCGAUUCAGAUAUGUUUGUCGAUCUUUCACCCUUGAAUUCUGCCCCGCAAGUCGUUCGUGGUCCGGCCAGUAGGAAUGAGAGGCACCCAAUGGCCUUUACCCCACCGAGCUUCAGCCUUGGCAUUAGUCAAGAUCAACCGGUGGUGCAAGAUCCUAUGCCAGUUGCCUUUGCUUUCCUAGGAGGCAUGCCCGCAAUGAUGGCGCAGUCAAUGGUCGAGGGCAGGAAGGCUGUCAAGUUCGCAGAGCCGAUUGUGCAAGCCACCCCUGAGGAGAUUUCACCGUCACUUGAUGAAGCUUACCGCAUGAUUGAGGAGGCAGCAUUGCAGAGGAGGUCCUCACGAGGGCAAGGGCAAUCAAGUUCCAACGUGCCUGCAGAUACGGUAUCUGAGGAUACCAUUAGGAGUGCCACUCCUGGUUCUGUGAGGCAGCAGAGGGUAGUUCACCCACCUCCCGUGGAAGACUACGAGCCCGAAUUCAGGGCCACUAAGGAACAGACCCAGCUGUAUGAUAUCGUCAAGCGGUUUGGAAAUGCGAGGGCCAGCAGCAAGCACAUGAAGGAGCUGAAAGCGUAA